CAGUAGCCGCGGGAAAACGUAGGGUGCAAGCGUUAAUCGGAAUUACUGGGCGUAAAGCGUGCGCAGGCGGUUAUAUAAGACAGAUGUGAAAUCCCCGGGCUCAACCUGGGAACUGCAUUUGUGACUGUAUAGCUAGAGUACGGCAGAGGGGAAUGGAAUUCCGCGUGUAGCAGUGAAAUGCGUAGAUAUGCGGAGGAACACCGAUGGCGAAGGCAAUCCCCUGGGCCUGUACUGACGCUCAUGCACGAAAGCGUGGGGAGCAAACAGGAUUAGAUACCCCGGUAGUCCCUGUCUCUUAUAC
rnacentral:rRNA from 1 species